GAGGAAAAGAAACCAACAGGGAUUGCCUUAGUAGCGGCGAGUGAAGCGGCAAAAGCUCAAAUUUGAAAUCUGGCGCCUUCGGUGUCCGAGUUGUAAUUUGAAGAUUGUAACCUUGGGGUUGGCUCUUGUCUAUGUUUCUUGGAACAGGACGUCACAGAGGGUGAGAAUCCCGUGCGAUGAGAUGCCCAAUUCUAUGUAAGGUGCUUUCGAAGAGUCGAGUUGUUUGGGAAUGCAGCUCUAAGUGGGUGGUAAAUUCCAUCUAAAGCUAAAUAUUGGCGAGAGACCGAUAGCGAACAAGUACAGUGAUGGAAAGAUGAAAAGAACUUUGAAAAGAGAGUGAAAAAGUACGUGAAAUUGUUGAAAGGGAAGGGUUUGAGAUCAGACUCGAUAUUUUGUGAGCCUUGCCUUCGUGGCGGGGUGACCCGCAGCUUAUCGGGCCAGCAUCGGUUUGGGCGGUAGGAUAAUGGCGUAGGAAUGUGACUUUACUUCGGUGAAGUGUUAUAGCCUGCGUUGAUGCUGCCUGCCUAGACCGAGGACUGCGAUUUUAUCAAGGAUGCUGGCAUAAUGAUCCCAAACCGCCCGUCU
rnacentral:rRNA from 1 species